rnacentral:rRNA from 1 species
CCUACGGGAGGCUGCAGUGAGGAAUAUUGGUCAAUGGGCGGACGCCUGAACCAGCCAAGUAGCGUGCGGGAUGAAUGCCCUAUGGGUUGUAAACCGCUUUUGUAAGGGGGCAACACCCUCUACGUGUGGCCGUCUUCAGAUAACGUGCGGAUAAAGGAUGGCUAAAUCCGGGCCAGCAGCCGGGGUAAUACCGAAGGCUCGAACGUUAUCCGGAUUUAUUGGGCUUAAAGGGAGCGUAGGCGGGAUUGCAAGUCAGCCGUAAAAUCGCGGGGCUCAACCGCGCCCCGCAGUUGAAACUGGACGUCUUGAGUGGGCGACAGGCAGGCGGAAUGCGUGGUGUAGCGGUGAAAUGCAUAGAUAUCACGAAGAACCCCGAUUGCGAAGGCAGCCUGCCGGGGUGCGACUGACGCUGAAGCUCGAAGGUGCGGGUAUCGAACAGGAUUAGAUACCCUGGUAGUC